rnacentral:tRNA from 1 species
GGGAGGGUAUCUCAGUGGUAGAGUGCUUGCCUAGCAUGUGAGAGGCUCUGGGUUGGAUCCCCAGUUACCCCC